rnacentral:ncRNA from 1 species
GUUGCCGGUGCGGCCCGACGUCAACUACCCAAGAACCAGGGGGAAGAAAGAACCCUUCCCCGCCCCUCCAGCCUCCCCGUCACCCACAAGGGUGGGUUUCGCCAACUGGGCUGGAUUUCGGGCGGGUUGACGGGCAUAUGCUCGCCGCAACAACCGCACACAGACGUCGGCCCCCGGCGGGAGUAGCAAUCCCGGUCGAGGGCCUGACCACCGAGGAAGGCAUCAACUUCCUG